UUAAAAGACAAUGCAUGCCAGUCUCAAAAGGAAAAAAGAGAUGUAUAUUUAGCUACAAUGUGGAAGAUUCCCCUUCUCCCCCAAAAUCUGAUUUGUAUGUGAGAGGGAAGAAAGAUUGAGAAGGCAUUUGGGGCACCCGGAGGUGGAUUUGCAGAGGAUGUGACACGUGGUGAAGGAAAAGCUUGGGUGAGGGGAGGGUAAAAAGCGAAGAAAAUAGAGUCUGGGAAGCCAUGGAGUUUUCUGACAUUACGAUUUUGCCCAAGGAACAACUCUGACACUCGGAUUCAUAACAGCACUGAUUCCAGAAGCUGAGCAGCCGCACAGCUCCUGACCCGAGGUUAUGCUUAUAAAGGAAGCAAAGAGAGUUGGAAUUUCGAGAGAAGGAUGGAUGUCUCAAGCCCAGUAAAUCCGCUGAUAACAUCCCAAUGUGAAAGAGCUUCUAUAUUGACUCCACGAAGAAUUUCUUUUUCACAUCUCCCUAUUUUCUCCUGCCGAGUAGAAGAUUUUAAAAAGAACCAUUCGGUCAAUGACAAAUUGACAAAAAACGCUUCAAGCCACUUGUUCUGUCAGCAUGUAUAGACUCUUUAAUUCUCAAAUGACUGUCUUUGGUAAGCUUCCUGUUAUGAGUUAGAAGUAUUGAUGUGUGAUGAAUAAAUUCCACCCAUUGGUUAUUGUCAGGAACAGAGAGUUAAAUUACAUGUUUAAACUGGCUUUCCUUUCUUAAACCUUAUUGCUAAAUGAAACGAGUGAUAUGACUAUGAGAGCCUUUCCUGACUCAGAGCAGAGUAAAAUAAAAAACAAUUUCUAGAUUAUUGACCCCUUAUAGAAUAGGAAGAAAAAUCUCUGACCCCCUAAUAAUCUCAGAAGGACUCCUGGAGAUCCUUUUUCCUUAGGGCUAUGUCUCCUUCCUUCUUAUCGCAGGAAAGCUAAUAUUUCUACAAAAGGCCAAUGAUUAAAUGCUUGAGCUUCUUUUGAGAGAAGGAUUAAGAUAAGAACUCAUUUAUGAAGUUAAAAAUGGAUAACUGAAGCAUAUGCAGGCUGGGCAUCAUUCACAAUGCCUCAUGCUUUCAUGGGGCAAACCC
rnacentral:lncRNA from 1 species